UACAGAGGUCUCAAGCGUUGUUCGGAUUCAUUGGGCGUAAAGGGUGCGUAGGCGGCGCGGUAAGUCGGAUGUGAAAUCUCGGAGCUUAACUUCGAAACUGCAUUCGAUACUGCCGUGCUUGAGGACUGGAGAGGAGACUGGAAUUUACGGUGUAGCGGUGAAAUGCGCAGAUAUCGGGAGGAACACCAAUGGCGAAGGCAGCUCGCUGGGACGGUACUGACGCUGGAGACGCGAAAGCGUGGGGAGCAAACAGG
rnacentral:rRNA from 1 species